UUCUCAAACUUUAAAUAGGUAAGGAGUGGGGGCUGCUUAAUUGAGCCCUCGCGGACAAUGAUUGCUCUCAGUGGGCCUGUUUUGGUAAGCAGAACUGGCGAUGCGGGAUGCUCCGAAAGCCGCGCUAAGGUGCCCAACUACACGCUCACUUAGAACCCAUAAAAGGUGUUGUUCCAUUAAGACAGCAGGACGGUGGCCAUGGAAGUCGGAAUCCGCUAAGGAGUGUGUAACAACCCACCUGCCGAAUGAAGUAGCCCUGAAAAUGGAUGGCGCUGGAGCCAGCGGACUUAUACCGUUCCAAUUUUCUUGAUGUGUUGGAGAGAAAAUUGAGUAGGAGGGCGUGGGGGUGUUGAUGCAUGCUGUGAUGUGAGUGCAGCAGAAAGCUCCCCUAGUGCAGAUCUUGGUGGAAGUAGCAAGUAUUCAAAAGCGAUCUUUGAAGACUGAAGUGGAGAAAGGUUUCAUGUGAACAUCAAUUGGACAUGAGUGAGUCGGUCCUAAGAGAUAGCCAAGUGGCGUUCUUAGUUCCCCCCUUGUAAGAGUGGGGGUGUAAUCGAAAGGGAAUGAGGUUAAUAUUCCUGAACGAGGACAGUGUAUGCAUAAUUUGGCGACAGUUGUGGUUGUUGGGAGACGUUGGCGGGCAUCCCGGGAAGAGUUGUCUUUUCUUUUUGACUGUGAGUGGUGUCGGCCUGGAAUCGAUUUGUUCGGCGAUAGGGCGGUGUUCGCAGGCAGAGCGCUGUCAGGGUAGAUGGCGUCCGGUGCAUGUUUGUCUCUCCUUGAAAAUCCCAAGGAUCGUAAAUGGUAUAAUCACUCCUCUCCGUACUGUAAACCGCAACAGGUCUCCAAGGUGAGAAGCCUCUAGUUGAUAGAAGAAUGUAGAUAAGGGAAGUCGGCAAAGUAGAUCCGUAACUUCGGGAAAAGGAUUGGCUCUGAGGGUUUGGUGUGUUGUGUUGUGUUGGUGGGGGCGGUUGCUUACGUGUUGUUUUGGUAGCAAUACUGGAGCACACGGUCGGGCGACCCCCCAGCCAUCCCAACCCCAAACAACACACGGAUAUAAACCGGCUCAGAACUGGAGCGGACAAGGGGAAUCCGACUGUUUAAUUAAAACAAAGCAUAGCGAUAG
rnacentral:rRNA from 11 species